AUAAAAAGGAGACUAGAGCUCAGUCAUUUGAAGUGAUUGGAAGGUUUGUGGUUAGCCAAUAGCAUAUGAUUUGUCAACUGUGUUUAAAGUCUUCCAGAGGGAAGAAGCUUAUGUUAUUUGUAUGUCUUCAGAAAAGGAGAGUUUCUGAGGGUUUCCACACCUCCUGGUUCACUGAGGCCUUUGAAAAUAGGCACCUGAGAGUCUGAAGUUGUUUACUUCUCCUCCCUCCCAUCUCAUCUCCCACUUCCUGCACCUGUGCAGGUGACUGCAAUGACCCCAGUGGCUACAUUUAGAAGAACACUGUGGAGAAGACUGAGGAAAUUUGGAAAUACAGCAACAGAAGUUAAAGCUCUUGAUUUGGUGGACUCAUUUACUUGGACAAAUUUGGGAAGCUACAGGAAUCCAUUGUCUGAUCUUCAUCCUCCUGCCUGUGUAUUUUGAGAAGACCUGUACCACAGGGUAUGACAAGAAAGAAGGAUAAGAAAUUCUCGGAUACUCUCCCUGCUUUUUGCUGAUUCUAAUUUGGGCUACAUUUCAUCCUGGCAAUUCAGGAAGAAAAACUGGAAGCUAUUCCUGGCUCAGCUGUCAAACAGACAGCAAAUGAAGGUUAUCUCAGAUGUGUCUCCUCUACUCCUGAGAGAACAUGGUGCGACUUAACAUUUCUUCAGUAACAUCAUUACUGUUGACAUCUUGAUGCAAGGAUGGGCAGUUUGCCAAUCUCGUCAUUUUGGAAGCAAAUUGGUUCAAGUAAUCGCCUAAAACAGCCUCUUGUAAGGAGCUUUAAGCAUAAGAGACUGCAUCCAUCAUUUCCAACUGUGAAGAAGAAACUAUUUCCCCACUAAAUGAUUUGAAAGUUUGAAGAGAUUUUAGAUGUGCUGAUGGAACACAGACUUCUGGUGUGGAUUCAAAGCAUGAUGGCAAGAAUUCAGUGUUGUCAAAUAUUCAAUUUAAAUUUGCCCUGUUAUUUACAUUCUCUAUGCUAAUACCUAUUAUUAUAUAAAUGAAUUUUGCUCCUACAGUGAAUCACUCAUUCUAUCUGGAGUCCUGCGUUUUAUUCCUCUAGCUGCACUUUGUAAAUGCGGUGCUCUUGGGUUUUAUCUUCUAGUGUUUCCUUUGUCCUACACAACUAAGAGUGGGCGUCCUGCUGAAUAGCAGACGCUGAUUUUAUAUCCACAAUAACAAUUCUAGUCAAGCGAGAUUGAUUUGACCGAGUGAUAACCCAUAAUUCACAGCACCGGGGCUCUCAAUUUAUGGAUUAGGUGAAUUUCCUCUCACUCAUCCCCCGCUUAUUUUUUCAAUUGUCACUGGAAAUAUUUAUGUGCAGCCAAAUGAAACAGUCCUAGUCACCACCCCGACGAUGGUCAUUGAUCCAAUUUUAUACUGGACAGUCCAGUUUUCAGCUGGUCUGUCUUUGUUUCUUAAUCAAUAUAUCAAUGAAUGCUUUUAUGUCUGGUAUUUUACUUUCAGCACCCAGCC
rnacentral:lncRNA from 1 species